rnacentral:rRNA from 1 species
UACAGAGGGGGCGAGCGUUAAUCGGAAUUACUGGGCGUAAAGGGCGCGUAGGCGGCUCGUUUAGUCGGGUGUGAAAUCCCAAGGCUCAACCUUGGAACUGCAUUCGAUACUGGCGGGCUAGAGACCGGGAGAGGGGGGUGGAAUACCCAGUGUAGAGGUGAAAUUCGUAGAUAUUGGGUGGAACACCGGUGGCGAAGGCGGCUCACUGGUCCGGUUCUGACGCUGAGGCGCGAAAGCGUGGGGAGCAAACAGG